rnacentral:siRNA from 1 species
AAUGGAUAGAUUCGAAUAUCU